AGAACGAACGCUGGCGGCAUGCCUAAUACAUGCAAGUCGAACGAAGGCUUCGGCCUUAGUGGCGCACGGGUGCGUAACGCGUGGGAAUCUGCCCCUUGGUUCGGAAUAACAGUUGGAAGCGACUGCUAAUACCGGAUGAUGACGAAAGUCCAAAGAUUUAUCGCCAAGGGAUGAGCCCGCGUAGGAUUAGCUAGUUGGUGAGGUAAAGGCUCACCAAGGCGACGAUCCUUAGCUGGUCUGAGAGGAUGAUCAGCCACACUGGGACUGAGACACGGCCCAGACUCCGUACGGGAGGCAGCAGGUAGGGAAUAUUGGACAAGUGGGACGAAAGCCUAGAUCCAGCAAUGACCGCGUGAGUGAUGAAGGCCUUAGGGUUGUAAGCUUCUUUACCGAGAUGAUAAUGAC
rnacentral:rRNA from 1 species